rnacentral:rRNA from 1 species
UACGGAGGGUGCAAACGUUGCUCGGAAUCAUUGGGCGUAAAGCGCACGUAGGCGGCGCAGCAAGUCAGGGGUGAAAUCCCGGAGCUCAACUCCGGAACUGCCUUUGAAACUGCAGUGCUAGAAUUCUGGAGAGGCGAGUGGAAUUCCGAGUGUAGAGGUGAAAUUCGUAGAUAUUCGGAAGAACACCAGUGGCGAAGGCGACUCGCUGGACAGACAUUGACGCUGAGGUGCGAAAGCGUGGGGAGCAAACAGG